GAAUGAGAACCAUCCAUCCAUCCAUUCAUUCAUUCAUUCAUUCACUCAGCACAUACUCAUAGAGCCCAGCGCUGGGGCCUGCAAAGGAACCUCGUCCCCUCCUGAAUCUUGACCCAGAGAGAGGGCCUGUGGAACAAUAAUCUUGAUUCUGGGCUUUGGGAGAGUACUAACAUACGUCACAGGCAUCCAAGGACCCCUUGGCUGCCAUCUUUGAGGAAUCACAUGAUAGGGCUUCAAGUCUCAAGCCAGAAGCCUCCUACAAACCCCAUAGGCAUCACAGAAGGGGUUGAUGGGGAAAGGAAGAAUUGAGAUGAUAUGGGACCUUGAACCAGGAGGCAUCCUAUCGUCUUGUAUCCUUUUUCCUUGCAAAGACUGGGUUGUCCUUGAACAUGUGUCUUCUCCUUUCUGAACCCUCUAUUGCAGGACCGAAAUGGAAAUAAAAUAUGUUCGCUAAGAUCACUCAAGCAGUAGAGAAUAGAGGUAUUGGUGGACUAAGAAACGAAGGCAGGUCUUAAGACUGGCCAUCUGAAGGAACCCAGGAAAACCUUAACAAGCGCAGCGCAGGGUAAACCGCAGCACCGGAGAUAAGAGGAGUCCCUCUUGACAUAGUUCCAGACCCCCGAGACAGUUUCAGGAACACUCCAGCCCUUCAGACUCUUUGUCACGCAGCUGCCUUGCAGUCGAUGCUGGAGAAGCCGAAG
rnacentral:lncRNA from 1 species